rnacentral:lncRNA from 1 species
UCACAUAAUUACAUUUAAGUUCCCCGAGAAUUAGUACGAGAUCUAAAUAUGAGGCCCUAAAUAUGGUAUAAACAGAGGGAAUUGAGUGAAUUCUGAGAUGUGAUUUCUCACUGCAUUGUGCCUUUAUUUAUAGUAGUAAGAAAGGUAAAUUCCUUACCUUUUAGGUAUUACAAUACAAUCAGGAAACUAUCUAAAAACAUGUAGAUUCUCAUACUAGGAUUUACACAAUUAUAUUCCUAAACUAAUUAAGACCGGAACACUCCCUUUUAAGUGUGUAAAUACUCAACUAAACGGUGCAUCAGGUCUUAAGUGGCACAAUGAGCAUGCGAGUCUCAAAUCAAUGGAAGAAUAACACAAAAAGGUAAAACUCACGAAACCUCACAAGGGUAUAUUAUUAUAAUAUUUUGAAUGUAUA